GACGAACGCUGGCGGCGUGCUUAACACAUGCAAGUCGAACGGAAAGGCCCUGCUUGUUUGGGGUGCUCGAGGGGCGAACGGGUGAGUAACACGUGAGUAACCUGUCCUUGACUUUGGGAUAACGUCAGGGAACUUGGUCUCAUACCGGAUAGGAGCUCCUGCGGCAGGGUGGGGGUUGGAAAGUUUCGGCGGUAGGGGCUGGACUCGCGGCUUAUGAUGGUGGUGGUGGGGUAGUGGCUUACCAAGACUUUGACGGGUAGCCGGCCUGAGAGCGUGACCGGGGACAAUGCGACUGCGAUAGGGAGCAGACUGGUACGGGAGGCAGUAGGGGGAAGUAUUACACAGUGGGGCGGAGUGUGAUACAGAGACGCCGCGUGCGGGAUGAGGGCCUUCGGGUUGUGAAACGCUUUCGCCUGAGACGCAGCGCGAAUGACGGUAAUGGGUAAAGAAGCACCGGCUAACUACGUG
rnacentral:rRNA from 1 species